AAAGGGGCUUCCGGAACCGCGUUUCGGGGGCCUUUUUCUUUUGC
rnacentral:antisense_RNA from 1 species